UACGAAGGGGGCUAGGCGUUGCUCGGAAUCACUGGGCGUAAAGGGUGCGUAGGCGGGUUUUUAAGUCAGGGGUGAAAUCCUGGAGCUCAACUCCAGAACUGCCUUUGAUACUGAAGAUCUUGAGUCCGGGAGAGGUGAGUGGAACUGCGAGUGUAGAGGUGAAAUUCGUAGAUAUUCGCAAGAACACCAGUGGCGAAGGCGGCUCACUGGCCCGGUACUGACGCUGAGGCACGAAAGCGUGGGGAGCAAACAGGG
rnacentral:rRNA from 1 species